rnacentral:rRNA from 1 species
UACGGGGGAGCAAGCGUUGUUCGGAUUUACUGGCGUAAAGGCGCGUAGGCGGCCACCGCAAGUCGACUGUGAAAUCUCCGGCUUAACCCGGAAAGGUCAGCCGAUACUGCGGGCUAGAGUGCAGAAGGGCAACUGGAAUUCUACGGUGUAGCGGUGAAAUGCGUAGAUAUCGAGAGAACAGCCUGCGGCGAAGGCGGGUGCUGGGGGCUGACACUGACGCUGAGGCGCGAAAGCUAGGGGGAGCGAACGGG